UGUAAAGUGAAAAAUAAUUAUUUUGAAGAAAUACACUUGUUUCCCUUCAUCCCUCAGUCCUCACAUGAGACAACAGGUGAAGGAGAAACAACACUGACAACACAGUCAACUAGCACAACAAAAUCAACCACAACAACGUCAGAGACACCAAAAUCAUCCACUUCAAGUAAAGCAAUGAGAAAAAUAACAUCAACAACACAAACCAAGCAGACAUCAGUGGACAGACAAACACCUACAAACAACAACAAUCCAUCACAACAAGCAGGUUCAUCAUGGUGGUCUGUGACUGUUUCUGUGGGUUCAGCAGGUCUCUUAAUAACAGCUGUGGUGAUCAUUAUAUGGAAGAAAACUAAAG